GACGAACGCUGGCGGCGUGCUUAACACAUGCAAGUCGAACGAGAAUCUAUGGAAAGAGGAUUCGUCCAAUUGAAAUAGAGGACAGUGGCGGACGGGUGAGUAACGCGUGAGGAACCUGCCUUUCAGAGGGGGACAACAGUUGGAAACGACUGCUAAUACCGCAUAACGCAUAGAGGUCGCAUGAUCUAUAUGCCAAAGAUUUAUCGCUUCAAGAUGGCCUCGCGUCUGAUUAGCUGGUUGGCGGGGUAACGGCCCACCAAAGCGACGAUCAGUAGCCGACCUGAGAGGGUGACCGGCCACAUUGGGACUGAGACACGGCCCAAACUCCUACGGGAGGCAGCAGUGGGGAAUAUUGCACAAUGGGGGAAACCCUGAUGCAGCGACGCCGCGUGAGCGAAGAAGUAUUUCGGUAUGUAAAGCUCUAUCAGCAGGGAAGAGAAAUGACGGUACCUGACUAAGAAGCCCCGGNUAACUACGUGCCAGCAGCCG
rnacentral:rRNA from 1 species